AUUGAACGCUGGCGGCAGGCCUAACACAUGCAAGUCGAACGAGUGGCGGACGGGUGAGUAAUGUCUGGGAAACUGCCUGAUGGAGGGGGAUAACUACUGGAAACGGUAGCUAAUACCGCAUACCAUCAGCUGGGCCCAGAUGGGAGUAGCUGGGUGGUGGGGGAACGGCGUACCAAGGCGACGAUCCCUAGCUGGUCUGAGAGGAUGACCGGCCACAUUGGAACUGAGACGCGGUCAAGACUCCUACGGGAGGCAGCAGUUGGGAAUAUUGCGCAAUGGGCGCAAGCCUUAUGCAGCCAUGCCGCGUGUAUGAAGAAGGCCUUCGGGUUGUAAAGUACUUUCAGCGGGGAGGCGUUACUCGCAGAAGAAGCACCGGCUAACUCCGUGCCAGCAGCCGCGGUAAUAC
rnacentral:rRNA from 1 species